ACCGUUGGAAACGGAGAAGGGGGCAAAUCUUUAUUUAAUACAAAACUACAAAAGCAUUUAACUCUUAGAAUCUUUCAUCUUGAUCAGCAUAACAAAACAAAAAAAAUGGCAGAAGCUAACGGCUCUCUGCAACAAAACCUCACUCUUCUUGAUCCCAUAUCUCUCCUACUUUCUCAGAACUCUAAUCCUCAAAACCCACCAGUCACACUGAAACUCAUUACAGAGAAUUACUUCAUGGAGAGGGGACCCAGAUACCAUGAAUACGCUGAACUGAGAGAAUCAAGACUGAGAAGGAAGAUUAUGCGAGAAGAAGAUGAAACUGAUGAAGCGUAUGAGCCAAAGCGAUCGCCUUUAACAGUAAUACUUUUUUGCUUUAUUAACCUAAAAAAAUAACUCUAAUAUUUUAUAAUAAAUAAAAAUAUAAUAUUAAAUAAAUUUAACAAUAUAUACAAUUUCAAAUAAUUACAAUAUUUUAAUACUUUACAAUCUUAUAUUAUAUUAAACUGAAUUUUAUAAUAAAUAAAAACAUAAUAUUAAAUAAAUAUAUAAAAAUUUAAAUUAUUUUCAAUAGUAUAUAAAAUAAUUUAAAUAUUAUUAAUACGUGAGAUGUAUUUUAUUAAUUGUAAAAUCGAUUUAACUCAGUGAUUUAUUUAAAUUUUUUUAUGAAAAAUAAAUAUAAUAAUUUAAAAAUUAAAAAUUUAGUUUAAGUAUUAAAAAAAUUCUAAUAUUUAUUAGUUUAUUGGAUAAAUUAACAAUUUUAAUUAUAUUUGUAUUUAUUAAAAAAUUUAAAGUCAAUUAUUUUAUUCACCAUUUGCAAAAAAUAUUAUAAUCAAAAGAAGAUUUUCGCGUUUCUCAUUAAAAAUUAAAAAUUUACAUGAUAAUUUUUUUUAUAUUUUAAAGAUGUAAAUGUCCUUUUUUCUUAUUUUUAUUUGAGAAAAAAUUGUCAUAUUUUUUCAAAAAUUAUAUCACGUAGAUUCACAUUUCAUGGAGCCUAAUUUCCUGCCAUUUGGAAAAACUUUACUCAACCGGCCCUGGUGGUGGACUUGGAGCAUCAACUUUUGUCAAAACCAAAAACAAAAUGUCAUUGAAAAAAGAGACAAAUCUCCUGCAUCCAAGGCCAUAUCAAAGAAGCUUCCUUUAACUUUUCAGUAAAAAGUAGAUAACCCAUCAUGAAUUUCCAACCAAAUCAAACGGUUCGUGUAGAAUCCAAGGUGAUUUCAACGCCCUUUAAGAUUUUCAAAUAGGACCCACGUUAAAUAAGAACGUUGGAAGCAAAUACAGAGACAGUACAAUAAAAAUUGGGUCGGGGGGGUGGGAGAUAAAAAUCUCACAUUUUAUUAGACCGUUGGAAACGGAGAAGGGGGCAAAUCUUUAUUUAAUACAAAACUACAAAAGCAUUUAACUCUUAGAAUCUUUCAUCUUGAUCAGCAUAACAAAACAAAAAAAAUGGCAGAAGCUAACGGCUCUCUGCAACAAAACCUCACUCUUCUUGAUCCCAUAUCUCUCCUACUUUCUCAGAACUCUAAUCCUCAAAACCCACCAGUCACACUGAAACUCAUUACAGAGAAUUACUUCAUGGAGAGGGGACCCAGAUACCAUGAAUACGCUGAACUGAGAGAAUCAAGACU
rnacentral:lncRNA from 1 species